CUCUUCCUGCCUACCCCCACCCCCCCACAGCCCAGGCCUUGGACCACAGCCAGCCUGGGUGGCCUUCUGGCUGGGAGACCCCAGGGCUGGGAGUCCCGGCCCACCCCCCUCCCCUGCGAUGCUCCCCACUCAGUCCGUGUGGCUGGAGCUUCUGUGACAUCACUCGGCAAGGGGCCUGAGCUUGCAGCCCCAGCUCUGCCACGAUCACCGAGUCCCCGUGACAGGCCUACUUCCUGUGACCCCAGACGAGGCCCCAGCCCACCCUCUGCCCUGGCACCCCAAGGCAGAGCCAAGCUGAGCAGGGUGCAGACCCUGGUGGCCGCCGACUAACAGGUGACCCUCCUGGGCUGUGGGAGGGCUGACAAUGCCCCCCUUCACUACAUGGCAGGAAGGGCCAGGGGUGCUACACACUCAGUAUAAAGAGGAUCUGCAGAGAAGGUGCCAGGAAAGCCCCUGCCCACCCCCGGGCUGGUCCUACAACCCAUCCACAGGCACUGCCUACUUUAAAGGAGGCUCCUGUGGCAUCGGCCAAGGAGAACAGCAUUAUUAGUGGCAAACAUCUUGAAGCAAACAAAAUGUGGUCAAGUUGAGCUAACAUCACAUUAUUUUCCUGAAGAAUGCUGUGUGAACUCACGGAGUCCGUCUGCACUAAUCAGUCCAGUGAACGGCUUCCUUCCUUCUGGCAGAGUUCCUUCUCCAGCAUUUCCUCCAAAUCCCACCCAGCAUUAAUGACAUCUGUCUAUAAACAUUAGUUUUAGUCUCAAAUAUUUUUUCCCUCAAAACUCAGAAG
rnacentral:lncRNA from 1 species